UUAUUCGGGGAAAACGUCACUUUCCCCCGUCAGGCUUUCGAUCUCCCGCGGAUGUAAAAAGUUAAAUUGAAAAAGGAAAAAACUUUCCCAUCGAGGAAUCUGAUGAACUAUUUAAACGAUCACUUAGUUGCAGUCCCGCAACGGGCUCUGCAAAGAUGUACCGACUAAUACUCGUGUCAGUUUUCCUCUCUGCCUGCUUAGCUGCCCCCAAAUUCGAGUCGCCUGUCAACCAUCUGCGGCGUUUGGCCAAGAUGUUCAAAACCUAUGAUCCUUGCCUCGAAUACGAAAACUCCACACCGGGUGUCGUCAACCGGGAUAUUGAGACGAAAUGUAUCGGGGCAUUCGACCUUCUGAGCAGUCUUCCAGCGAGCGAUCUCCCACUCCACUGUCUGCCGUCACAGAGGACCCAAAGGCCCGGUUGCCGCAACUUUCGGGGUGAAAAAAGGUGCAUGUUAACAGCGAAACUCAUGAUCGUCGUUCGACAAAUGGGACCAUCACUUAUUCACACCCAAGAAAUGGUCAUGCCAGUGCCGCUGGGCGCCUGCGCUGAAACGAUCGGAGUCGGUGUUCCAUCCUACGAAAACAUACACGCCAUAAAAGACCUUUUCAAGAAUCGGCCUCCUCCGGGGGAAGUGUGGACGACUGCAGAAUUUACGCGCACAGUGACGAUAACGAAAGAUCCUGACGCUUCUGAUGCAGAGAACCCCUAUCUCCCGAGCGAUCCCUCAACACCGAAAUCGCCAAAAAAAUCUCCAUCCAGAUCACCGAGAUUGUCGCCAAAAUCGUCACCGAGAUCAUUCAAACAAAACUAAGGCACAGAAAUGGCUUUUAGGACCACAGCCCAAGGACAAUGGAGACUCUAGAUCAUCGAACUUUUUCUCUCUUUUUCCACGAUUGAUUUUGCACGCCAUUAGAAAUUCUCAUCACGUAUCACUCAUCCUAUGUGACACCGAGUAAAAAGAGUAAAUGCUAUAUUUGAUAGACGCAGUAAAACGCAUCGUGACUCAUUUAAGCAUUUCUCAGCCCAUUAUUGGACAUAUUUCUGCCAAACGGAACUAUGUGUAUUAAGACAUGAGCCCUGAGACUCAUAAGAACUAUGAGAUGGAUCAACACAAAUGUUAACUCGUUUUCCAGAAAAUUGAUAUUUUAUCAAAAUAAAUUUGGCAACGUCUGAAGGCUCAUAAGGCGUUAUCCCUUACUACGAUGAAAUUGAUCCAGGCCAUGAGUCAUACUGUGCAAGAAGAAUACACAGAGAAAAAAUC
rnacentral:lncRNA from 1 species